rnacentral:misc_RNA from 1 species
AACGCACAUUGCGCCCGCCGGUACUCCGGCGGGCAUGCCUGUUCGAGCGUCAUUUCAACCCUCAAGCCCAGCUUGGUGUUGGGGCACCCGGCCGCCUGGCGGCCCGGGGCCCUCAAGUGUAUCGGCGGUCUCGUCGGGACUCUGAGCGCAGUAACUCGCGGUAGAACGCGCCUCGCUUGGUCUGUCUCCGGCGGGCUCCAGCCGCUAAACCCCCCCCUUUCUCCCAGAGUUGACCUCGGAUCAGGUAGGAUUACCCGCUGAACUUAA